AUUGAACGCUGGCGGCAGGCUUAACACAUGCAAGUCGAGCGGAGACUUCGGUCUUAGCGGCGAACGGGUGAGUAAUACCUAGGAAUCUGCCUAUUAGUGGGGGAUAACGAAUCGAAAGGUUCGCUAAUACCGCAUACGUCCUACGGGAGAAAGGGGGGGAUCUUCGGACCUCUCGCUAAUAGAUGAGCCUAGGCCGGAUUAGCUAGUUGGUAGGGUAAAGGCCUACCAAGGCGACGAUCUGUAGCUGGUCUGAGAGGAUGGCCAGCCACACUGGAACUGAGACACGGUCCAGACUCCUACGGGAGGCAGCAGUGGGGAAUAUUGGACAAUGGGGGGCAACCCUGAUCCAGCCAUGCCGCGUGUGUGAAGAAGGCCUCGGUUGUAAG
rnacentral:rRNA from 1 species